AUGGAGCAAAAGAAGGAGAAGAGAGAGAUUUGCCAAGUUAAAAAUUGUGCCUUAGUUUUCUUCGGCUUAAUCUUCCUCUGUCUUUUUCCGAUCUUCGUCUUUGGUCCAAAUCCGAUGACCCAACUCGCCGAGCUCUCAAAACUAACAAUUGGGGAGGACCUACUUGGGAAAAACAGGUUCGAACCUCUGCUCGGGUCCGCUCCAGCAAAGGUGGCAUGUCUGUGGUCAUUACCGGAGCUGCCGGGUUCGUCGAAACCCAUGUCUCCGCCGCACUCAAGCAGCGCGGAGACGGUGUGGUGGGCAUCAACAAUUUCAAUGACUACUAUGACCCAACGUUGAAGUGAUCAAGGCAAGCGCUUUUGGAGCGUUCGGGAGUUUUCAUUGUAGAAGGAGAUAUCAAUGACAUGACGCUUUUGAAGAAGCUUUUUGAGCUUAUGACUUUUACCCUUGUGUUGCAUUUGGCAGCUCAAGCUGGAGUGAGGUAUGCUAUGGAAAAUCCUCUAUCUUAUAUGCAUAGUAAUCUUGUUGGUUCUAUUAGCUUGUUAGAAGUUUGUAAAUCUGUGAAUCUACAACCUGCAAUUGUGUGGGCUUCGUCUAGUUCAGUUUAUGGACUUAAUACUAAGGUACCCUUUUCGGAAAAAGAUCAAACAGACCGGCCUGCUAGUUUGUAUACUACUACUAAGAAAGCCGGUGAAGAAAUUGGCAAAUCUCUCUCUUCCCCUUCUCUCUCUGUCGUGCCUUUGUUAAAAAAAUCUCAGAUUUGUUUUUAA